rnacentral:tRNA from 1 species
AAAUCCGUCGAAUUUUUAAAUGGGGAGGGUUCAAGUCCUUCUAUCCCCA